rnacentral:rRNA from 2 species
UGGCUCAGGACGAACGCUGGCGGCGUGCCUAAUACAUGCAAGUCGAACGAACUCUGGUAUUGAUUGGUGCUUGCAUCAUGAUUUACAUUUGAGUGAGUGGCGAACUGGUGAGUAACACGUGGGAAACCUGCCCAGAAGCGGGGGAUAACACCUGGAAACAGAUGCUAAUACCGCAUAACAACUUGGACCGCAUGGUCCGAGUUUGAAAGAUGGCUUCGGCUAUCACUUUUGGAUGGUCCCGCGGCGUAUUAGCUAGAUGGUGRGGUAACGGCUCACCAUGGCAAUGAUACGUAGCCGACCUGAGAGGGUAAUCGGCCACAUUGGGACUGAGACACGGCCCAAACUCCUACGGGAGGCAGCAGUAGGGAAUCUUCCACAAUGGACGAAAGUCUGAUGGAGCAACGCCGCGUGAGUGAAGAAGGGUUUCGGCUCGUAAAACUCUGUUGUUAAAGAAGAACAUAUCUGAGAGUAACUGUUCAGGUAUUGACGGUAUUUAACCAGAAAGCCACGGCUAACUACGUGCCAGCAGCCGCGGUAAUACGUAGGUGGCAAGCGUUGUCCGGAUUUAUUGGGCGUAAAGCGAGCGCAGGCGGUUUUUUAAGUCUGAUGUGAAAGCCUUCGGCUCAACCGAAGAAGUGCAUCGGAAACUGGGAAACUUGAGUGCAGAAGAGGACAGUGGAACUCCAUGUGUAGCGGUGAAAUGCGUAGAUAUAUGGAAGAACACCAGUGGCGAAGGCGGCUGUCUGGUCUGUAACUGACGCUGAGGCUCGAAAGUAUGGGUAGCAAACAGGAUUAGAUACCCUGGUAGUCCAUACCGUAAACGAUGAAUGCUAAGUGUUGGAGGGUUUCCGCCCUUCAGUGCUGCAGCUAACGCAUUAAGCAUUCCGCCUGGGGAGUACGGCCGCAAGGCUGAAACUCAAAGGAAUUGACGGGGGCCCGCACAAGCGGUGGAGCAUGUGGUUUAAUUCGAAGCUACGCGAAGAACCUUACCAGGUCUUGACAUACUAUGCAAAUCUAAGAGAUUAGACGUUCCCUUCGGGGACAUGGAUACAGGUGGUGCAUGGUUGUCGUCAGCUCGUGUCGUGAGAUGUUGGGUUAAGUCCCGCAACGAGCGCAACCCUUAUUAUCAGUUGCCAGCMUUAAGUUGGGCACUCUGGUGAGACUGCCGGUGACAAACCGGAGGAAGGUGGGGAUGACGUCAAAUCAUCAUGCCCCUUAUGACCUGGGCUACACACGUGCUACAAUGGAUGGUACAACGAGUUGCGAACUCGCGAGAGUAAGCUAAUCUCUUAAAGCCAUUCUCAGUUCGGAUUGUAGGCUGCAACUCGCCUACAUGAAGUCGGAAUCGCUAGUAAUCGCGGAUCAGCAUGCCGCGGUGAAUACGUUCCCGGGCCUUGUACACACCGCCCGUCACACCAUGAGAGUUUGUAACACCCAAAGUCGGUGGGGUAACCUUUUAGGAACCAGCCGCCUAAGGUGGGACAGAUGAUUAGGGUGAAGUCGUAACAAGGUAGCCGUA